CUUUCUCUUAAAUCUUAAUCCAUGUCACUUUCCCCUUUUUCUUCUUUAUAAGAUGUAUUAUGAACCGAUCAAUCAUUUUUUUUUUUUUCACAAAAUCAAUCAUAUACGAUACACUUAUUUUCCGCAUACUGUUAACUAGUAUGUGCAUGAACUUGAAAAAGAAUCUCCUUAAUUUUGCGACCUUUUGUAAUAUUUUAUUUUCUUCUCAAAAAAUCCAAUUUUUGUCCCUUCCUAGAAGAAAUGUGCUCCCUUUGGCAGGUUCGGAUCUUCUCUGGGACAUAUGUAUCCGUAUCCAAUUUUUUUAAAUCAGGUAUUUACGUCAGCAACAACUUAUUUCAGCUUCAGGUACAUAUACUAAACCGUAAAUAGUUGGUCACAAAAUGUGUUACAUUCAAAUGAGUAAAACUCAAAUUCACAAUCUCAUGGUUAGGAGAUUGGGUGUGUAGUGGCGGAUCCAGGACCCCAGGGUCAGGAGGUUCAAAAUUUUUAAAUAAACACAUCGGUAAAAAUCACAAUAUUGAAUUCCACUUAAUCUUCAAAAUCACAAUCUUGAGCUACAAACUACAAAGUAUGUCAUAACAAAUGGAUUUCACAAUAUCAAAUGAUCAAACUGCAGUCUCAAAGGGAGGGUGAGGUGGGGGUGUUCAAACUGCAGUCUCACUGCGAUUACCACCAUUUCAUGAGAGUUGAGAGAUAUGUAGGUACAUGGUAGCUAAGCCACUUUUGCCUCAAUUAUUGUAUAAUAACACCACAUAAAAAAACAUUAAGCAAACUAAAGCAUGCUGGUUCAACAGGUUUAACUUUGGAAGCAUUUUAAAUCACAGACAUCACGACAAACUAGACUAAGAGAGUUCAUUUUAAUCUUCACCAACUCAGGAACUCUUCACCUGUAGUAAUUAUGAGUGCAACCAAAGAAUUCAUGUAUGAGGAAAUCAUUGAAAGCCAAAAAUUAUGUUAAAAAUGAAUACAGGUGCAGAUUUACCACCACAAUAGAUGAUAUCAUCAAUUCAAUUCAAUCCAUAUCCUAUAAUAUGACACAGACACAUUUGCUCUGCUUUGCUACACUUGCAACUUCAAUGCUGGUUGCAGAUUUUAAAUGGCACUUUAGAAGAAACCCAUAAAAAUUCUAAUUGAUUGUGCCUCAGCGAAAAAUCCCAAGCCAAUCCACUAUCCCCACAACAGCAACACAAAUUAAUAAAAACCCUCCUUCAAUACACCCACCACAUAGUACCAGGUGUGUACUACGAACAACAAAAGCAUAGGAAAAGUAAUAGUCACAAAAAGCAGGAUGUUGGCAGCAGCAUUCCCCUACUGAUAGAGCCACCACAAUGCACACAUUAAUUUAGAAACUUUACAGAACAGACAUAAUUCAAAUAGGCAUAGUGCAGUAGCUUCAAAGAAAUCACAGAAGAGCUUAAGCAGAGUUAAUUGUUCCUUGUUAAAAAGCUAGCAAUGGAGAAGAACCUAUAAUUUCCUUCUUUUUGUGAUAUAAAGACUUGAAUAUUUCCAAUAAAAAUGUCAAUUAAGCAUUUGUAGUUGUAGACUCCCACUGUGCAUCACACUCAAUGUCGAGGGUUACUACAAAAUUAUUACCAGCCUAAUGAUAAACUUUGUAGAAACAUGGAAGAGAAUAAUUGAAUAAGUUUAGGGAUAGGAGAAGAGAAAGGAAAUCAAUUUAGGGAAAUCAAGCUUGAGAAAGGAGAAGAGAAAGAAAGGAAAUCAAUUAGGGAAAUCAAGCUUGAGAAAAGAGAAGAGAAAGGAAAUCAAUUUUGCCAUUUAGGGUUAGGGAAAUCAGUCAUACCUUUAGUAUGUAGAACCGCAGAGCCAGAGGGAGUGGGAUGACUGGACUGGUCUGGUGGUGCGGUGCGCGUUGAUGACGGCCAGACCUAGGUGAGAGUGCUUGUGGUGUAUCGUGUGAGAGAAAUCAGAGCAUGAGAGUGAAGGGCGUGAGAGAGAGAGAGAGAGAGGAGUUGGGGUCAGGGUGCAAAUCUAAAUUCUCAGGGGGUUCAAAAAAAACUAUUAUAAGGGGGUAAGUGAGAAUUGUUUUCUUUUCAAGGGGUUCAACUGAACCCCCUGGGCUGGCUGUGGGUCCGCCCCUGUGGGUGUGCAACUACCACCACAUUACACCUUGUGAUAAAUCAUAUCCAAAUUUUGAAAAGCAUGAGAAAACACAAAAAAAUAAAUAGUGAAGAAGUAGGCUAGGAACAUAACAAGGGGAGAACAUAGCAAAGGCUCUUGUUUAAUAAAAACAGGAACUCAAUAAGACAUACCAGAUUUGGUUGGUUUUUGCUGUUGGUUUAGGGACCAAAGAAAGUUCCCCUCACAAGGGAUUGUCCCAAAUUCGGUUCAAUUGUUAAGGCAAAGGACAAUAUUGUGGAUGAGAUUGGGUGUAGAUUUUUGGUCUAGGACAGAUGACUUAUGGGACACACACAUGGCACCAAUUUGAGAGCCUCUCAA
rnacentral:lncRNA from 1 species